rnacentral:rRNA from 1 species
CGCCUGUUUAUCAAAAACAUGUCCUUUAGAUGUUUAUAUAAGGUUUGACCUGCCCAAUGAUUAAUUAUUGAAUGGCCGCGGUAUUUUAACCGUGCUAAGGUAGCAUAAUCAUUUGUCUUUUAAUUAGGGGCUAGAAUGAAAGGUUGGACGAGGUAUUAGCUUUCUUUGAUUUAAUUAUUGAAUUUAAUUUUUGAGUUAAAAAGCUUAAAUAUAAUUAUGGGACGAGAAGACCCUAUAGAUCUUUGACAUUAAGUUUUGAUUUUGAUAUUUAGUGAUUGUUUUAUUUAAAUUGGAAUUAAUGUUUGGUUGGGGUGAUUAUAGAAUUAUAUUAACUUCUAUUUAUUGUAUAUCAUUAAUUAAUGUUUUAUUGAUCCAAUUAUAUUGAUUAAAAGAUUAAGUUACCUUAGGGAUAACAGCGUAAUUUAGUCGGAGAGUUCAUAUUGAUGACUAUGUUUGCGACCUCGAUGUUGGAUUAAAAUAAGUAGUGGGCGUAGCAGUUUACUAACUGGGUCUGUUCGACCUUUGAAUUUUUACAUGAUCUGAGUUCAAACCGGAG